GGUUCUGUGUGGUGUAGUGGUUUGAGUGUUGGACUAUGACUCUGGCGACCAGGGCUCGAUUCCCAGCUCGGCCA
rnacentral:tRNA from 1 species